UUGUUAGAUUGGAGAUCUAAUUGAAGUUAUGUAUUUUGCUGCCAAGUCUCCACAAGAAAGAAAUGAAUGGAUGGAGGCAUUUCGCAUGGCUGCCAUUGAUAAAGGCAAUGAGUUACUUUUAAAGCAUCAUCCUGGAGUGUAUGGCCUGACUAAUAAGGACAGGUGGAGCUGCUGUGGCAGAGCUAGGAGAGAAUGUGAAGGGUGUGCUGAUUCAAGAGGAGCUCUUAAAAUGCUGGGA